rnacentral:rRNA from 1 species
AUUGAACGCUGGCGGUAUGCUUUACACAUGCAAGUCGAACGGCAGCACGGGGCAACCUGGUGGCGAGUGGCGAACGGGUGAGUAACAUAUCGGAACAUGUCCGGAAGUGGGGGAUAACGUAGCGAAAGUUACGCUAAUACCGCAUAUGCCCCGAGGGGGAAAGGGGGGGAUCGCAAGUCCUACCGCUUUCGGAGUGGCCGGUAUCGGAUUAGCUAGUAGGUGGGGUAAAGGCCCACCUAGGCGACGAUCCGUAGCUGGUCUGAGAGGACGACCAGCCACACUGGAACUGAGACACGGUCCAGACUCCUACGGGAGGCAGCAGUGGGGAAUUUUGGACAAUGGGCGCAAGCCUGAUCCAGCCAUACCGCGUGAGUGAAGAAGGCCUUCGGGUUGUAAGGCUCUUUCAGCCGGAAAGAAAUCGUGCAGAUUAAUACUCUGUAUGGAUGACGGUACCGGAAGAAGAAGCACCGGCUAACUACGUGCCAGCAGCCGCCGUAAUAC